GAUGCAGUCUCAAACACAACGAACUGCCAACUGACAAUACAACAUACAAGGCUUAUAUGCAUGGCUAAAUUAGCAACAAUGUGGCGCAGGUGAGCUGCAGCCGGAGGCAGCUGUGCACGUCCACGUCCCUGACAUGAUAUUCAAAAAUGAAAAAAAAAAAAAAAUCAAAUCAAAUAACCGAUCAGCUGGAUAGAUUCAAAUUUUAGUUGUUCCCUUGAAAAAGAGAUAAUCUUCCUUGCCCAAGUCAUUCAAGCUUUGCUGAUCUUGGUGUAACCCGGUUAAAAGUUGGUACAGGUCCAUGUAGUCCAACACCAUCAUGCCUCGGGUGCAGUCCCCCACCAACUCCACGGUCACAGCGACCUGAAGGUCCAGCACAGUUCCAACCCUGGAGCAUCUGCAGCUGGCACAUCGCCCAGCCCGUCCUUCCCAUGGACCCUAAGGGUGUUCUUCAGGACUUUCUCAAGGGGGGUGUUGCCAUGGCAGCAGGUGAUCCCUAGUAUCUCCACAUCGGGCGCUAUCAAGGCCAUCAUGAUGGCUUGAGCAUCAUCCACCCCUGUGUCCAC